GAAAUGCGAUAAGUAAUGUGAAUUGCAGAAUUCAGUGAAUCAUCGAAUCUUUGAACGCACAUUGCGCCCCUUGGUACUCCGAGGGGCAUGCCCGUUCGAGCGUCAUUAUAACCCCUCAAGCCCAGCUUGGUGUUGGGGCCUGCUGUCGCCGGCAGCCCUUAAAAUCAGUGGCGGUGCCAUCUGGCUCUAAGCGUAGUAAUACUUCUCGCUACAGGGUCCCGGUGGAUGCUUGCCAUCAACCCCUAAAUUUCUAUGGUUGACCUCGGAUCGGGUAGGGAUACCCGCUGAACUUAA
rnacentral:misc_RNA from 1 species